AGUGCCCCUUCUCCAGGAUCAAGGAACUGGGGCGGGGGGUGUUUCCUGGACCCCAGUCCUCCGAAUCAGCUCCUAGAGUGGAACCAGGAAGGAUUCUGGAGCCACAGAAGAUAGACAGAUGGAAGGUGGGGACCAAAGUGAGGAAGAGCCGAGGGAACGCAGCCAGGCAGGUGGAAUGGGAACUCUCUGGAGCCAAGAGAGCACUCCAGAAGAGAGGCUGCCCGUGGAAGGGAGCAGGCCAUGGGCAGUGGCCAGGCGGGUGCUGACAGCUAUCCUGAUUUUGGGCCUGCUCCUUUGUUUUUCUGUGCUUUUGUUCUACAACUUCCAGAACUGUGGCCCUCGCCCCUGUGAGACAUCUGUGUGUUUGGAUCUCCGGGAUCAUUACCUGGCCUCUGGGAACACAAGUGUGGCCCCCUGCACCGACUUCUUCAGCUUUGCCUGUGGAAGGGCCAAAGAGACCAAUAAUUCUUUUCAGGAGCUUGCCACAAAGAACAAAAACCGACUUCGGAGAAUACUGGAGGUCCAGAAUUCCUGGCACCCAGGCUCUGGGGAGGAGAAAGCCUUCCAGUUCUACAACUCCUGCAUGGAUACACUUGCCAUUGAAGCUGCAGGGACUGGUCCCCUCAGACAAGUUAUUGAGGAGCUUGGAGGCUGGCGCAUCUCUGGUAAAUGGACUUCCUUAAACUUUAACCGAACGCUGAGACUUCUGAUGAGUCAGUAUGGCCAUUUCCCUUUCUUCAGAGCCUACCUAGGACCUCAUCCUGCCUCUCCACACACACCAGUCAUCCAGAUAGACCAGCCAGAGUUUGAUGUUCCCCUCAAGCAAGAUCAAGAACAGAAGAUCUAUGCCCAGAUCUUUCGGGAAUACCUGACUUACCUGAAUCAGCUGGGAACCUUGCUGGGAGGAGACCCAAGCAAGGUGCAAGAACACUCUUCCUUGUCAAUCUCCAUCACUUCACGGCUGUUCCAGUUUCUGAGGCCCCUGGAGCAGCGGCGGGCACAGGGCAAGCUCUUCCAGAUGGUCACUAUCGACCAGCUCAAGGAAAUGGCCCCCGCCAUCGACUGGUUGUCCUGCUUGCAAGCGACAUUCACACCGAUGUCCCUGAGCCCUUCUCAGUCCCUCGUGGUCCAUGACGUGGAAUAUUUGAAAAACAUGUCACAACUGGUGGAGGAGAUGCUGCUAAAGCAGAGGGACUUUCUGCAGAGCCACAUGAUCUUAGGGCUGGUGGUGACCCUUUCUCCAGCCCUGGACAGUCAAUUCCAGGAGGCACGCAGAAAGCUCAGCCAGAAACUGCGGGAACUGACAGAGCAACCACCCAUGGAGGCUUUUGAAACCCCAGGAUGAUGCCUCCUAGAGGCCUUGCUGUCAAAUUCAAUAGGCAAUAACAUGAAGGAUUUACUCAGCCAGGCUCAUGAGACCAGCUCUGAGGAAGCUGUGCUUUUCUUGUACUGAUCGGUGAUGUGCAUCACCCUAAGGGAUAGUAAACAGAUGAAACCCAGAAAGUCCAGUCAAAAGAGCACCCUCUGGGAAUGAAGAUCUAGUGAAGACUGGGGAGACAGAUGAGGAAAGAGUCCUGAACAGGAGCCACUCAUUCCAGCUUUGUCUCCAUAGCCUGCCCGCCCACGAUGGAUGAAGUGCGUGGAGGAGACAGGCACGUUCUUCGAGCCCACGCUGGCGGCUUUGUUUGUUCGUGAGGCCUUUGGCCCGAGCACCCGAAGUGCUGUAUGUGAGAGCUCUUCCCAGCCCACAUCCCUCCACCCCUUCCUACCCAAAGCAGCCUUCCCUCUUCUAUUAACUUUGACUUUCUCAGUGGUGUGUGUGAUUGGGGAAUUGGGCAGUCAGAGAAGGGCCACUG
rnacentral:misc_RNA from 1 species